rnacentral:rRNA from 1 species
CCUACGUGUGGCAGCAGUCGAGAAUCAUUCACAAUGGGGGAAACCCUGAUGGAGCGACGCCGCGUGGGGGAAUGAAGGUCUUCGGAUUGUAAACCCCUGUCAUGUGGGAGCAAAUUAAAAAGAUAGUACCACAAGAGGAAGAGACGGCGAACUCUGGGCCAGCAACUGCGGGAAUACAGAGGUCUCAAGCGGUACUCGGAAUCACUGGGCGUAAAGCCUGCGGAGGCUGUUUCGUAAGUCGUGUGUGAAAGGCGCGGGCUCAACCCGCGGACGGCAGAUGAUACUGGCAGACUAGAGUAAUGGAGGGGGAACCGGAAUUCUCGGUGUAGCAGUGAAAUGCGUAGAUAUCGAGAGGAACACUCGUGGCGAAGGCGGGUUCCUGGACAUUAACUGACGCUGAGGCACGAAGGCCAGGGGAGCGAAAGGGAUUAGAUACCCGAGUAGUC